CAGAAUCCUGAAAUGUUGAAAAAUGGUACGUGCUUCAGAGAGAGAUUCUUACAGGCUUGCAAACCAAAGUCAGAUUUCAAAGUGGUUCCAAUGGACAUAUUUCCUCACCUUCAAAAUCCAGCUUGCAGAAAGCUAUGCCUCGAGCCUUUGUUAGCACGGAUAUGCCCUGAACAGACAUCCUGAAAGGAAGACAGACUCAUGAAGGCACAUAGGCCUAUAACAGAACCACUGAAGCCAGUCUGCUCAUUUCCUGAAGCUUGCUCCUUGGUCCUACAGGAGUCAGAUGCUGCAAUAACCAGGGUCCCGUUCUUCCUGGAAGCUUUGCAGGCCAUGUGCCGUAGAAGGCACCUUUCCAUUGGUCAGUAACUUAUACCCUUGUCUUGGGGGGUGAGAAGAGAUUCCUGCAUGUAGCCCACAGAGUGCAUCACUUCAACUCACCUGCAGCCAAGGGCCUGAAUCUGGGGCACCUGUUGGGGUUUCCUGCACUGUUCAUCCCUGGCAGAGGGACAACUGUUAACACCAAAAUGGGAAUGCCUAUGACGUUUGAGUCUUAAGGUCCAGCUGGCAUGAAGAGACAUAAUGUCAUUUCUGUACAGAAAAGAGAGUCUUAUUUUCUUUUUUCAACUUCUGGAAAAUGGAAAACACAUGAAUACCCUCAGUAACGCUGCAGCUGCUGAAGAAUCUGCAUAUUCCUUGGCUAUUUUCAAGAAGCCUGAAUUAAGGUCACUAGAGUUUGUAAAGAUUUCUUAAACCCUUUAAAUGGUGCUCCUGCAAGGCAAUAUUUUUCCAUGUGUACCCAUAUGGUAUAUGCUAAUGGUUCAGUGCUGCAGCUAGAAACCCAUGUGAAAUGAAGACUCAGGACUGUAAACAGGGACAAUGGUCCUGCAUCCCACACUUCGCAAUAAGCUUUGUUGCUUAUCUUGUAAUGUGUUCAGUCUGGAUGGAUGAAAGCAGCUAUUCUCACAGGGCAGAGGAGCAGACCCUCACACACACUGUGGCUCCAGCAGCUGGUGCAAGCCAGGGCAGCUGGAGAUAUCUUCAACCCCAAUUCCCAGCCCCAGCACUAGUGAGAACUGCUGGGCAAAAGCUCCAGGCUCUGCUAGGGAGGCAGCAUUUUUGGCCAAGGGCUGGCUGAACAGCCUGGAGUGCUCCCUGCAGGCAUCC